UGGAUGUCUUAGUGACACUGCCAGAGCGCGCGAAAUCGCCAUAAACAGCGCCUUUCCCUUUCUCCUUCUGCUUCUUGUUCCCCCUUUUUCCUCUUUUGACCAUUUCUCUCUCGAAUUCCUUCCUCGCAGAGCCACAGUUUCGAACCAUUUCUCCAUUUUAUUUAUAUUUUCAUCUUUUCUGUCUUAAACCCAUUUCCCCUCUGCCCUUCGCCUUUUGAACUCCCUUCUUUCAGUCAGUGAGGUAGAGUUGUGAUAAUUUCUCUUUUGGGUUGUAUUUUGUCCUGUUAUAACCUUCGACAAGACAGCUUACGGAGACGAGGAUCCUCGCAUCCAUGGCAUCAGUACUAAGUUCCGCGUUGUGCCUAAUUUCCCUCAACCAGAAUCUGUCUAUUUCAGAAAGCAAACCAAAUAGUUGAUGUAAUUGUUCAAUAUCAACUGGCUAUUGACUGCAGAUUCUAGUACGUUGACAUGGCGAGGAGGAUUCGGACUUGUGACCUCGUAGUCGACGGUAUUUGUCUAAACCAAAAGACUUAUUUUAGAACAUGUUAGAGCUGACGAUUGAAUGUGCUUCCGUCAUUGUAACAGUUCAAAUUCACCGCUAGUGAAUGCUAUCUGCUUGGAUCCAUUACAUAUUGUCGUCAAUCUUACGGUUUUAAAACACGUUUACUAGGGAGAGGUUUCUACACCCUUAUAAGAAAUGUUUUGUUCUCUUCUCCAACUAAUGUGGGAUCUCACAGUUGAUUCUUUUUUUCUUCUGUCUAGGAUCUUCAAAGAUUACUUAUUUUUGUG